rnacentral:tRNA from 1 species
GCAGCUUUAGCUCAGCCGGUAGAGCGCAUCCAUGGUAAGGAUGAGGUCGUCAGUUCAAAUCUGACAAGCUGCUCUA